UCCCGCUUCUUGUCUCCCCCAGGCUUGCUUCUUAUACCAAAGAACUUUGUCUCCCACUUCUUGCUCAAAUCAAAAGCAAGGGCUCUUGUCCCCCCAAGCCUUGCAUAUAAAAAGGAGAUUAACUCCUUAGUUUCAGACACACCAACAUAUAUACACACACACCAUCCGAGAGCAAGAAAGAAGAGAAGAAAAAAGCUCUGCUGAAGCUUAGAAAAAUAGAGAGGAAGAAAUAUCAAGCUAUUAAGUAUUUU
rnacentral:lncRNA from 1 species